CAAGUCGAACGGCAGCACAGGAGAGCUUGCUCUCUGGGUGGCGAGUGGCGGACGGGUGAGGAAUACAUCGGAAUCUACUUUUUCGUGGGGGAUAACGUAGGGAAACUUACGCUAAUACCGCAUACGACCUACGGGUGAAAGCAGGGGAUCUUCGGACCUUGCGCGAUUGAAUGAGCCGAUGUCGGAUUAGCUAGUUGGCGGGGUAAAGGCCCACCAAGGCGACGAUCCGUAGCUGGUCUGAGAGGAUGAUCAGCCACACUGGAACUGAGACACGGUCCAGACUCCUACGGGAGGCAGCAGUGGGGAAUAUUGGACAAUGGGCGCAAGCCUGAUCCAGCCAUACCGCGUGGGUGAAGAAGGCCUUCGGGUUGUAAAGCCCUUUUGUUGGGAAAGAAAUCCAGCUGGUUAAUACCCGGUUGGGAUGACGGUACCCAAAGAAUAAGCACCGGCUAACUUCGUGCCAGCAGCCGCGGUAAUACGAAGGGUGCAAGCGUUACUCGGAAUUACUGGGCGUAAAGCGUGCGUAGGUGGUCGUUUAAGUCCGUUGUGAAAGCCCUGGGCUCAACCUGGGAACUGCAGUGGAUACUGGACGACUAGAGUGUGGUAGAGGGUAGCGGAAUUCCUGGUGUAGCAGUGAAAUGCGUAGAGAUCAGGAGGAACAUCCAUGGCGAAAGCAGCUACCUGGACCAACACUGACACUGAGGCACGAAAGCGUGUGGAGCAAACAGGAUUAGAUACCCUGCUAGUCCACGCCCUAAACGAUGCGAACUGGAUGUUGGGUGCAAUUUGGCACGCAGUAUCGAAGCUAACGCGUUAAGUUCGCCGCCUGGGGAGUACGGUCGCAAGACUGAAACUCAAGGAAUUGACGG
rnacentral:rRNA from 1 species